AUGCUGUGGGCUCUAGCCCUGCUCCUGGCUUUCCUGGAUCCCUCCAGUCCGAUAUCCUUCAGCUCAGAAGGGAGAAAGAUGUCAGUAACCAGGAGGACUGGGUUUUUGGCUGAAAUCACCUGUGAUAUUGUUGACCAAAAUGUCAACUACAUCCACUGGUACCGACACCGAGUGGGAGAGGCCCCCCACCGCCUUCUCUACUAUGAGUUCUCUGGCUCAAAAACUGUGGUGGAACCUGGAAUCAAGUCGGAAAAAUACCGUCUUUCUGCAACCUCAGGAAAAACCUCUAAAUUAGUUGUUCGAAAUGUUGAACAAAGUGAUGCUGGGAUUUAUUACUGUGCUGCCUGGGACACCCACAGUGGCUCAGACUCCCCUCUUGACUGCACAUAA